UACGUAGGGGCUAGCGUUAUCCGGAAUUACUGGGCGUAAAGGGUGCGUAGGUGGUUUCUUAAGUCAGAGGUGAAAGGCUACGGCUCAACCGUAGUAAGCCUUUGAAACUGGGAAACUUGAGUGCAGGAGAGGAGAGUGGAAUUCCUAGUGUAGCGGUGAAAUGCGUAGAUAUUAGGAGGAACACCAGUUGCGAAGGCGGAUCUCUGGACUGUAACUGACACUGAGGCACGAAAGCGUGGGGAGCAAACAGGAUUAGAUACCCCUGUAGUCCCUGAG
rnacentral:rRNA from 1 species